rnacentral:lncRNA from 1 species
CCUUGGCACUGGGUGUGGUGUCAAAUAUGUGGCUACUAUCGGCAGUGGAUACAUCUAAGCCGGUGAGCAUAAGCACAUCGACAAGAGUGGGAGAAGCAGGGCCAUGACCGAAGAUGAAGGCAUUAAGCGUGUCUGACCAAAAAUAUGAUGCGGCAAUCAACAAUGAUUCAUUCCUAUGCAUAUUGGCCAGGGACAAUCUGAUGCAUUGGUCCAGUUUUCACUCUCCCCACUGAACCUCAUUGGAGUGGCUGACUCUCAAGAACCAAUCCUUCCAUCCCUUGGUAGGACUGGGCCAGGAACGGAAGGCAUCCUUCCAUAGAUCUAGAGAAAAGUUCUCGGCUCUAAAGGAGAUUCUGUUGGUUUCUGCGUUGAUUAAAUCGGUGGGAUCUGGGUUCCCUAGUGGACCGAGACAUUGGAGGUGUGGCUGAUCGGUAGGGAUGACGAUUUUAUUGGACAAAUCCUAAUGGUUUUUGGGUGGAAAGAAGAACAAAAGAAAAAAAAUAUUCAGUAAAAUAAAUUGCGGAUGAACAAGGAUAUGGUAAAAGUACAAGAGGUAGGGUGAUGAACUGACCUCGGGAACAGCAAAGUUGAUGGCCAUCUCCUCGCGAGAAAGAUGAUCGAAGACUUUGAGGUUGGUGAAGAAAGGGCUUCGUUGGAGUUCUUGGAGCUCUCGAACAACGCCACCACCAGAAAAGUGGAGUUGGGGCUGUAGAAUGA